rnacentral:rRNA from 1 species
GACGAACGCUGGCGGCGUGCUUAACACAUGCAAGUCGAACGAAGCUUGAUUACGGAUUCUUCGGGUGAAGUAAGAUAUGAAUGAGUGGCGGACGGGUGAGUAACUCGUGAGUAACCUGCCCUUCAGAGGGGGAUAGCGUUUGGGAACGAACGGUAAUACCGCAUAAUGUAUUUUGACCGCAUGAUCGAAAUACCAAAGAUUUAUCGCUGAAGGAUGGACUCGCGUCUGGUUAGGUAGUUGGUGGGGUAACGGCCUACCAAGCCGACGAUCAGUAGCCGGACAGAGAGACCGAGCGGCCAAAUUGUGAGUGAGACACGGGCCAGACUCGUACGGGAGGCAGCAGUGGGGAAGAUUGCACAAUGGGCGCAAGCCUGAUGCAGCAACGCCGCGUGAAGGAAGACGGUUUUCGGAUUGUAAACUUCUGUUCUUAGGGAAGAAUAAUGACGGUAGCUAAGGAGCAAGCCACGGCUAACUACGUG